rnacentral:rRNA from 1 species
GACGAACGCUGGCGGCGUGCCUAAUACAUGCAAGUAGAACGCUGAAGGAGGAGCUUGCUUCUCUGGAUGAGUUGCGAACGGGUGAGUAACGCGUAGGUAACCUGCCUGGUAGCGGGGGAUAACUAUGGGAAACGAUAGCUAAUACCGCAUAAGAGUAGAUGUUGCAUGACAUUUGCUUAAAAGGUGCAAUUGCAUCACUACCAGAUGGACCUGCGUUGUAUUAGCUAGUUGGUGGGGUAACGGCUCACCAAGGCGACGAUACAUAGCCGACCUGAGAGGGUGAUCGGCCACACUGGGACUGAGACACGGCCCAGACUCCUACGGGAGGCAGCAGUAGGGAAUCUUCGGCAAUGGACGGAAGUCUGACCGAGCAACGCCGCGUGAGUGAAGAAGGUUUUCGGAUCGUAAAGCUCUGUUGUAAGAGAAGAACGAGUGUGAGAGUGGAAAGUUCACACUGUGACGGUAUCUUACCAGAAAGGGACGGCUAACUACGUG